UACGUAGGGUGCAAGCGUUAUCCGGAAUUAUUGGGCGUAAAGAGCUCGUAGGCGGUUUGUCGCGUCUGCUGUGAAAACCCGAGGCUCAACCUCGGGCCUGCAGUGGGUACGGGCAGACUAGAGUGCGGUAGGGGAGAUUGGAAUUCCUGGUGUAGCGGUGGAAUGCGCAGAUAUCAGGAGGAACACCGAUGGCGAAGGCAGAUCUCUGGGCCGUAACUGACGCUGAGGCGCGAAAGCGUGGGGAGCGAACAGG
rnacentral:rRNA from 1 species